rnacentral:rRNA from 1 species
GAUGAACGCUGACGGCGUGCCUAAUACAUGCAAGUCGAGCGAACGGGCGAGAAGCUUGCUUCUCUGAUGUUAGCGGCGGACGGGUGAGUAACACGUGGAUAACCUACCUAUAAGACUGGGAUAACUUCGGGAAACCGGAGCUAAUACCGGAUAAUAUUUUGAACCGCAUGGUUCAAAAGUGAAAGACGGUCUUGCUGUCACUUAUAGAUGGAUCCGCGCUGCAUUAGCUAGUUGGUAAGGUAACGGCUUACCAAGGCAACGAUGCAUAGCCGACCUGAGAGGGUGAUCGGCCACACUGGAACUGAGACACGGUCCAGACUCCUACGGGAGGCAGCAGUAGGGAAUCUUCCGCAAUGGGCGAAAGCCUGACGGAGCAACGCCGCGUGAGUGAUGAAGGUCUUCGGAUCGUAAAACUCUGUUAUUAGGGAAGAACAUAUGUGUAAGUAACUGUGCACAUCUUGACGGUACCUAAUCAGAAAGCCACGGCUAACUACGUG